ensembl:snRNA U6 U6 spliceosomal RNA
GUGCUUACUUUCACAGCACAUAUACUAAAAUUGUAGCAAAGCAGAGCAGAUUCACAUGGCCCCUGCACAAGGAUGACAUGGAAAUUUGUGAAGUGUUCCAUAUUUUU